AUCAGUGUAUUGUAAUAUUGAAGAGCAGUACAGCUUACCAUGAGCGCUUUGGAAAGCUUUACAGACAGGCACUGAACCUUUCAGCAGGAAGAUAUUGGGAAUGGUUUUGAUUAUACUGCCCCGUACUGCAAAACAUACAAGGAGGGGGGAGUUCAUUUAAGAUGGAAUGAAGAUUGAACUACCAUGUAUCUUUUAACAUGCUACAAAUUAAGAACUGAACUUAUUUACUUCAGUGUGCAAGGGACACUGCGUGUCUUUGCAAACACAUAGAAACUUGAUGUGCCUGCAAGCAAAUGUUUGGAAGGGAACAGGAUGAGGAAAGAGAUGAGUAUACUGUUGCAGUUUAGUACCAGUGUUCCCAUCGACUCGAUGUUUUCUGAAUCUGAAUUCUACAACAUGGUGUGGAUUCAGCAAGAAAUGUCCUGAGAAAUGGUGGAUCAGAAGAUAAAAAAUGGCAGUGACAUCCACCUUUGUGCCAGGCACAGUGCCGGUACUCCAGAGCCACACAACCACUGUCUCCCACCUCACAUUCAUGCUUAUAAUUCCAGACAUGCUUAAUGACGUAUAGCAAUGGUUCUUCCCCCAUACAAUGCUAAAAACAACUUCCACUUGUAUUUUCAAUUAUGUUAUUUUUCACUUAGACAUGUCUGAAACUUCAGCAACAACAAAUCUUUAACUUAUUCCCUUCUUUUUACUUCGGGUUGAUUUUGUUACUGGUUUUUGUUUGUUUGUUUGUUUUUCUUUUUCUGUCUUCACAACAUACUGCAGGUUUGAGUCUCUCAGAGCCAGAAAGAAAUCGGUAUCAAGACGUGCUAAGAAUGUAUUGUAGUUACUAAGGAAGUGGUUUCCCAAGCAACAGUAACCACAUGAAAUUCGACAGAAUUUCUUCCUUUGCUACUAUAUCAUGUUUGAAGAUUUCAAAGAGCCAGGAUGUGGGUAGCAUAAGUGAUUUUGUCCUUGUUAAACAGAAGCAGAUACAGUAAUAUCCUUGUCCUUACUAAAGAAAGGGUUAAAUUCAUUAAGUUACAAUUUUCCUGGUAGCAGAAAAAAAUGUGGAUGUGCCAAAUAGUCCUGCAGCAUGUGGGCAGAUGCUAGAGGCAACAUUCUCAGUUGUUACAUACUCAGUGGUGAUAUUUACCAUUCAAGAAAGCCAUGCCAACACUUUGGUUUGCUCCAGACACUGGAAGAGACAUUUACCAGCUUGAUGAUGUCAAAAAGUGUAGGAAACUUGCACUUGCUUGAUAUUAGUAGAAGGAUCAGAACCAAAGGUAAUGAAGUUGCAUUGUCCUAACUUCUCUGCAGUGGUGUAAACAAAAUGGAGUCAGCUGGGCAUCAAUCAAAGAAUGCAGUGUCAUUGCUAUUCUGUUUUGAUCAAGAAAUGAAAAUAACACAGUAGAUGUUGCCCUCUGAAAGUGAAUUUAAUGCUUGUUCUUAGAAGGGAAUUGGAAACAACAGGUUCUAUGGGUUAACAAGCAGUGCAAUUUAAUAUGUUUUCUCGAUAGAAAAUGUGAAUAAUUUCUACCUGCUUCUGUGUGCUGAGGUUCAUUGAGUGGUAAGGCACCACAGAGGCACUGUUAAUAAAGAGCUCAAUCCAGCAAGACAAAGAAAGAGAUGACUCAUUUUUCAUUUGAGUUUCAGGUACUAAGAAAAUCAAAAUUUCUUUCAAAAAUUUGUCUUUAAGAAGUGAUUCUUUAUAUCCACUUCAUGUUUAUGGUGAAAUUUAAAAAAGAAAAUGUGGUGGUGUGCAUGUGAGGCAAAUCCCAAGGGAAGGUAUGUAUUGAAGGAGGUGUGUUUCCAUAUGUUAUUAAGGUUCGUGCUUUGUAGGUACACUUACAUCUUUUCUGAAAACUUAGAUUUCUGCUUUGACCAGAGUAAGAAUUUUUUUACAAUUGUACAAACUCCUACUUAUCUUCUGGAUUGCAGGUCACCAUGCAUAAUGAAACAUUUGAGCUACGGAACCUUUUAAAGUAUACGAAGAAACAAUUAUGUGUAUUAUGAAACUGUUCAGCAGUAUGGAUUGGGGCCAGCUCUGUGCAUUCCCAGAUGUAAUGGACAUAAUUGCAGGUCUCCAAGCACAGACACUGAAGUGAAUGACUGAGGGGAUUUGGGGGCUUCACUGGCUCUGGAUCUGUAUCAGCAGUGCCAGAAACAAACUGGCUCAUUAAAAGCUUUAAUCUU
ensembl:lncRNA